CCUACGGGAGACAGCAGUAGGGAAUCUUCCACAAUGGGGGAAACCCUGAUGCAGCGACGCCGCGUGAGUGAAGAAGGAUUUCGGUAUGUAAAACUCUAUUAUUAGGGAAGAAAAUGACGGUAACUAACUGAGAAGCCCCGGACAAUUACGAACCAGCAGCCGAGGGAAUACGAAGGGGGAAAGCGUUCGCCGGUUUUACUGGGGCUAAAGGUAGCGCGGUCGGUUUAGCAAGUCUGAUGUGAAAGCCCCGGGCUCAACCGCGGGAGUGCAUUGGAAACUGUGACUCUGGAGUGUCGGAGAGGAGAGCGGAAUUCCAUGUGUAGCGGUGAAAUGCGUAGAUAUAAGGAGGAACACCAGUGGCGAAGGCGGCUCUCUGGACUGUAACUGACGCUGAGGCUCGAAAGCGUGGGGAGCAAACAGGAUUAGAUACCCUUGUAGUC
rnacentral:rRNA from 1 species